UAUUUAAACGGUAGAAUAUCUUGUGAAGAA
rnacentral:piRNA from 1 species